CAGAAGCCUAUCGAAGUAAAUGCUGAAACGAAACAGGAUUUGAGAAGUUUUAAGCUUAUAUUGGAAUAUAUAAAAGCCUUGCCUAUUCCGAUGGUAGAGCUUAUUCGUAUUAUUUAUUACUUCUUGCUUGAGAUGAAUGAACAGGAUAAAUGAUGUCCAAAUUUCUUAGUCUUAGUAGUUAAUGUUAUCAAAGCCUCGAAUUUUCUAUCUUUCGCAAUAUGGAACUUUUGUAUGGUGCUCUCAAAAAUUCACUUCUCUCUUACACACUCGCUCCCUCACUGACACGACUUCAUCAAUGCCAUUCAAGAAAACAUUACGGAGGGUCAAAUAAUAAUGCUUUUCAAAUGCAAGCGGAGAUUCAAUUGCUUUCGC